CGUUUUGGUCAUCGCAUAAGUCUACUUGAAAAUUUUAUCUGUCUCAUUUAGUAAGCACAAAUAAGAUUAGCUUGGUAUCUAAGGAUGAGUUUAAUGGUAUGAACACUGUAUCAGAAUCUGAUUCAAGCCGGAAACAAGAUCAUCCUACUCUGCAAUCUCUCUCCUUCAUUUGAGUACCAGUCAAAGAAAUUGGAUAGAACUCACCAACUCCACAUUGAUGCAGGCUAGACUCUUAUGAUGCAUAUGGCCAGUGAAAGACAAUAGAAAGACCCCACCUUUGUAAUAGGUUUCCUGAAAAUAUUCAUCACAUAAAUGAUUACUUCUAGCAAGAUCGAUUCCCUGAUUAUUUGAAUAUAAGAGAACUGGCAGCCAAUUUACAAUCGGUAUGGAUAUUACUUUGAGCUUCGGUUCAUACAUUAAUACAUUAUGCACAGUUUGGAUGCAACCAAUGUGUAGCAGGAAGCAGCCAUUAUUGAAGAAUCAUUUAGCAUGUUAAAAGGCAUACAAUUGAAAAAGUAGUGUGUGUAUGUGUGUGUCCAAGAAAAUCAAGCAUUUCAACCAAGUACUAAAUGCAAAUAUUUGCUUAGCGUAAAAUUUGACAUGGUCAAACCAUAAUUAUUUUAGUCUGCCAGGCAAUCUCUGUGUGCAGUAAUCUCUUUUUUUUUUUGCUAAUGUGGGUGCAGUAAUCUUCACGCAUACUUUGUAACCAAGUUAUUAAUUGAUAAUGAGAAGGAAGAACUACUUAUUGGCAUGAAACAUAAUAAAAUUAGACAAAAUCCUGCUUACAUGGGUUGUUUGUAUAUUUUCAUGGCUUCUGUGAGAACAGAUAAUGUCAAAAGUAUGUGGGCCAAAUAUUUAUUUGAAACAUAGACAAUAUAUACCUAGAAUUUUGCCGUACAUUUAAAUAUUCUAGAGAUUACCAGCGAAGCACCAAAUUAAACAAUGAAAUAUUUCUAUGAAAGUCUAUACUUAUCUUUUAUUUGCUCUUGCAAAGCUAACUUGGUUGAACAGAGAAUUACAUAGUAUAGAGAAUAUAUAUGCUGAAGAAACCAUGAACAUUUUGCGGCCAUGGAGUUC
rnacentral:lncRNA from 1 species